UAGGGAAUCUUCCGCAAUGGACGCAAGUCUGACGGAGCAACGCCGCGUGAGUGAAGAAGGAUUUCGGUUCGUAAAACUCUGUUGUUAGAGAAGAACAGCGCAUAGAGUAACUGUUAUGCGUGUGACGGUAUCUAACCAGAAAGCCACUGCUAACUACGUGCCAGCAGCCGCGGUAAUACGUAGGUGGCAAGCGUUGUCCGGAUUUAUUUGGCGUAAAGCGAGCGCAGGCGGUCAAUUAAGUCUGAUGUGAAAGCCCACGGCUCAACCGGGGAGGGUCAUUGGAAACUGGUUGACUAGAGUGCAGAAGAGGAGAGUGUAAUUCCAUGUGUAGCAGUGAAAUGAGUAGAUAUAUGGAGGAACACCAGUGGAGAAGGAGACUCUCUGGUCUAUAACUGACGCUGAGGCUAGAAAGCGUGGGUAGGAAACAGG
rnacentral:rRNA from 1 species